CAUGCCCCUUAUACGCUGGGCUACACACGUGCUACAAUGGGUAGUACAGAGAGUCGCAAAGCCGCGAGGUGGAGCUAAUCUCAGAAAACUAUUCUUAGUUCGGAUUGUACUCUGCAACUCGAGUACAUGAAGUUGGAAUCGCUAGUAAUCGCGAAUCAGCAAUGUCGCGGUGAAUACGUUCUCGGGUCUUGUACACACCGCCCGUCACACCACGAGAGUUGGUUGCACCUGAAGUAGCAGGCCUAACCGUAAGGAGGGAUGCUCCGAGGGUGUGAUUAGCGAUUGGGGUGAAGUCGUAACAAGGUAUCCGUACGGGAACGUGCGGAUGGAUCACCUCCUUUCUAAGGAGUAUAUGUCUUUCUCUAUUCUAUUGGUAAUGUUCUUAGAACAUUGCACUGAACAUUGGAAACUAUAUAGUAGAACAAACAAGAAAACAAAAAUUAACUCUAACAAUUUCUUAGAGUUAGCUGUCAAAAAAAAUAGGUUAAAAUAAUUAAGGGCACACAAAGGAUGCCUAGGUAGUAAGAGCCGAUGAAGGACGUGGUAAGCUGCGAUAAGCCUAG
rnacentral:sRNA from 1 species